rnacentral:rRNA from 1 species
CUGCAGCUCAAGUGGUGAUCGCUAUUAUUGGGCCUAAAACGUCCGUAGCCGGUUUAGUAAAUGCCUGGGUAAAUUGUGUAGCUUAACUAUACGAAUUCCGGGUAGACUGCCAAACUUGAGACCGGGAGAAGCUAGAGGUACUCCUGGGGUAGAGGUGAAAUUCUGUAAUCCUGGGGGGACCACCAGUGGCGAAGGCGUCUAGCUAGAACGGGUCUGACGGUGAGGAACGAAGCCCUGGGGCGCAAACCGGAUUAGAUACCCGAGUAGUCC